rnacentral:rRNA from 1 species
GAUGAACGCUGGCGGCGUGCCUAACACAUGCAAGUCGAACGAAGCACCUUACCUGAUUCUUCGGAUGAAAGUUUGGUGACUGAGUGGCGGACGGGUGAGUAACGCGUGGGUAACCUGCCCUGUACAGGGGGAUAACAGCUGGAAACGGCUGCUAAUACCGCAUAAGCGCACGAGGAGACAUCUCCUUGUGUGAAAAACUCCGGUGGUACAGGAUGGGCCCGCGUCUGAUUAGCUGGUUGGCAGGGUAACGGCCUACCAAGGCAACGAUCAGUAGCCGGUGUGCGGAGAUGAACGGCCACAUUGGAACUGAGACACGAUCCAAACACCUACGGGAAGCAGCAGAGGGGGAUAUUGCACAAUGGGGGAGACCCUGAUACAUCAACGCCGCGUGAGUGAAGAAGUAUUUCGGUAUGUAAAGCUCUAUCAGCAGGGAAGAUAAUGACGGUACCUGACUAAGAAGCUCCGGCUAAAUACGUG